AAGCGUGAGUAGCAAACAGGAUUAGAUACCCUAGUAGUGCACGCCGUAAAACGUGGGCGCUAAGAUGUAGGUUCAUUCCACGGGAUCUGUGCCGUAGCUAACGCAUUAAGCGCCCCACCUGGGGAGUACGGCCGCAAGGCUAAAACUCAAAGGGAAUUGACGGGGGCCCGCACAAGCGGCAGAGCAUGUGGAUUAAUUCGAUGCAACGCGAAGAACCUUCCAGGGUAUAACAUACACCGGAAAUCCGUAGAGAUACGGUCCCCCUUGUGGUCGGUGUACAGGUGGUGCAUGGGUGUCUUCAGCUCGAGUCGUGAGAUGUUGGGUUAAGUCCCGCACCGAGCGCAACCCUUGUCUUAUGUUGCCAGCGCGUUAUGGGGGGGACUCGUAAGAGACUGCCGGGGUCAACUCAGAGGAAGGUGAGGACCAAAUCAAGUCAUCAUGGUCCUUAUGUACAGGGCUUCACACAUGCUACAAUGCCCACCCCAGAGGGCUGCGAGACCAUGAGGUGUAUCGCAUACCUUAAAGCAGGUCACUGUUACGAUCGGGGUC
rnacentral:rRNA from 1 species